GCCCAUGUCAAAUUUAUGUUCACCAGUUGAUUGAAAUUUUUUAAAUUUCACCUAUCCAAUUAAAGUUUAGUGACUUAAUUGUAAUAAAUUGAUCUUUUCGUGACCUCAAUAAAAUUUAAUGACCAUUAGUGCAAUUUUCCUUGUUUCAUUUAAAGUUUUACAUGUUGAAGUGUAUUGUAAUCAAGACAUUGUAAUUGUUGCAACCAAAUCAAAAUAAAAAUGCUUAUCAAAAUGAACAUGGUUGAGAGAAAAUCCAUACAUCUUUCAGCCUUCAAUAAUUCAAGCAAAACAUUGAUAACAUUAAGCAAUUGAAUCUCCAAACCUUCAAUGCCUACUCUACAAAUUUACAUUUAUUUUAUUUAUUAGCUAAACUAUCAUUUAGGAGAGUCCAUAUGAUGCAUCCUACAUCGGUUAGCAAGGGAGAUCUUAGGUGUUAUACAUAUGGGUUCGCAACCCUCUCCUUACGAGCUAGCAUUUGAGGUAGAGAUAUAAUUGUUGGGUCCGCAUCAUUUGGUAUCAGAGCUUCUUCUUGUAUGGUCGGUGGCCCAUAUAUAAAAGUUCCCUAACAUAUGAAUAGGUCAGGGUUCAAUAUAAUCACGGUUUCUUCACGAGGAUGUUCAAUGUAAAGGGGUUGAGAAUAAUGCAUACCACAUUAGUUAGCAAGGGAGAUCUUGGGUGUCAUAUUUAUGGGUUCGCAACCCUCCCCUUCCGAGCUAGCUUUUGAGGUGGAGAUAUGGUUGUUGGGUCCAUAUCAUUUAUUCUUGGUUUUCUAUCACUUGUUGAUAUUAGAUCAAGUUUAGUCAUUAGAAGAAAUCAUGAUUUUGCUUGGUUUUCCAUCACAAGUUGGUGUUGGAUUAAGUAAGUAUUUGGUGUUUGAAUCUAUUUUAGAGCAAUCAUGAGAAUACACUAAAUUGAUUGUAGAUUUCAAGACGAAGUCCUCUAAAGUUUGCAUCAUCAUAAGAAAACAUUACACGUGCAAAAAUAAAAAUGAGCGAGAGAGAACAAUGAACAAUAGCACAUUCAUAUCGAGACUCCAAGCUAGAACAAAGUUUAAGAAAGAAAAAUUACCAUUUCUUACAUCCAAUAGAACA
rnacentral:misc_RNA from 1 species